rnacentral:rRNA from 1 species
CGCCCUGUUUAUCNAAAACNUUUUUUUUUUUAGUGGAAAAGUAUAGCCUGCCCAGUGAAAAUUAAACGGCUGCGGUAUUUUAACCGUGCAAAGGUAGCAUAAUCAUUUGUCUUUUAAUUGAGGUCUGGCAUGAAAGGUAGAACAAAAAUGAGUUUCUAAGGUGCAAAGAAAUAAUUUAAGGUUUAGGUAAAAACGCCUAAAUAACUGUGGGACGAUAAGACCCUAAAAGCUGCGUCUUUAAGUAAUUAUUUUAUUUUUAAAGGCUAGUAUUGUCUAAAGAUUUGGUUGGGGUAACAAUUUUAAAUAAGUUGAGAGGGUUUAAGUAGUAUCACUAGGCAAAGGUCCUUUAUAUGAGGGCGAGAGUAGAAGUUACUUUAGGGGUAACAGGGUAAUUGUUUUAGGGAGCUCUUAUCUACAAAACAGAUUGCCACCUCG